rnacentral:tRNA from 1 species
ACGUCGGUAGUAUAAAUCAGUAUGCCGUCUUUCCAAGUCGGAGGUCUAAAGCUUUAGCUGACGUA